CCUACGGGAGGCAGCAGUGAGGAAUAUUGGUCAAUGGGCGGAAGCCUGAACCAGCCAAGCCGCGUGAAGGAUGAAGGCGCCACGCGUUGUAAACUUCUUUUGUCGGGGAACAAAGUGCGCCACGUGUGCCUUUCUGAGUGUACCUUAAGAAAAAGCAUCGGCUAACUCCGUGCCAGCAGCCGCGGUAAUACGGAGGAUGCGAGCGUUAUCCGGAUUUAUUGGGUUUAAAGGGUGCGUAGGCGGUCGGGAAAGUCAGCGGUAAAAGCCCGGGGCUCAACCCCGGCGAGCCGUUGAAACUGGCGGACUAGAGACGGCGAGAGGUACGCGGAAUGCGCGGUGUAGCGGUGAAAUGCUUAGAUAUCGCGCAGAACUCCGAUUGCGAAGGCAGCAUACCGGCGGCGGACUGACGCUGAGGCACGAAAGCGUGGGUAUCGAACAGGAUUAGAUACCCGUGUAGUC
rnacentral:rRNA from 1 species